rnacentral:tRNA from 1 species
GGGGGCGUAGCUCAGCUGGUUUAGAGUGCUGCAAUGACAUCGCAGAGGUCAACAGUUCGAAUCUGUUCGCCCCCA